rnacentral:rRNA from 1 species
AGACUUAAGCCAUGCAUGUGUCAGUACAAACCAUAACUAAAGUGAAACCGCGAAUGGCUCAUUAAAUCAGCUAUGAUUCAUUGGAUCUUUCUACCCAGUUUCCUUGGAUAACUGUGGUAAUUCUAGAGCUAAUACAUGCAAAUUUAGUCCCUAACCUUGCGGGAAGGGCGCUUUUAUUAGUAUCAAAACCGGUCGGGCUUCGGUCUGUAAACCCACCAGUGAUGACUCUGGAUAACUUUUAGCUGAGCGCACGGUCUUUGCACUGGCGCCGCUUCUUUCAAGUGUCUGCCUUAUCAGCUUUCGAUUGUAAGUUAUGUGCUUACAAUGGCUAUAACGGGUAACGGGGAAUCAGGGUUCGAUUCCGGAGAGGGAGCCUGAGAAACGGCUACCACAUCUAAGGAAGGCAGCAGGCACGCAAAUUACCCACUCCCAGUACGGGGAGGUAGUGACGAAAAAUAACGAUGCGAGACUCAUCCGAGGCCUCGCAAUCGGAAUGAGUACACUUUAAAUCCUUUAACGAGGAUCGAUUGGAGGGCAAGUCUGGUGCCAGCAGCCGCGGUAAUUCCAGCUCCAAUAGCGUAUAUUAAAGUUGUUGCGGUUAAAAAGCUCGUAGUUGGAUUUCAGUAUUGGACUGAUGGUUCACCUUCUGGUGUUUAAAAACCUAUCAUGCUUCAAAACCAGCUAACACAACAACUUUGUGUCUACGCCCCACUAGCUCACACGGGGUGCUCUUAAUCGAGUGUCCCGAGUGGCUGGUAUGUUUACUUUGAAAAAAUUAGAGUGCUUAAAGCAGGCUAAGUAUAUAGCCUGAAUGUCUGUGCAUGGAAUAAUAAAAGAGGACCUCGGUUCCAUUUUGCCAGUUUUGCCUGGAACCCGAGUUAAUGAUUAACAGGCACAGAUGGGGGCAUUAGUACUGCGACGCUAGAGGUGAAAUUCUUGGACCAAGGAUGUUUUCAUUAAUCAAGAACGAAAGUUAGAGGUUCGAAGGCGAUCAGAUACCGCCCUAGUUCUAACCAUAAACGAUGCUGACCAGCGAUCCGCCGGUGUUAAUACCAUGACUCGGCGGGCAGCUUCCGGGAAACCAAAGUCUUUGAGUUCCGGGGGAAGUAUGGUUGCAAAGCUGAAACUUAAAGGAAUUGACGGAAGGGCACCACCAGGAGUGGAGCCUGCGGCUUAAUUUGACUCAACACGGGAAACCUCACCAGGCCCAGACACUGGAAGGAUUGACAGAUUGAGAGCUCUUUCUCGAUUCAGUGGGUGGUGGUGCAUGGCCGUUCUUAGUUGGUGGAGCGAUUUGUCUGGUUAAUUCCGAUAACGAACGAGACUCUGGCCUAUUAACUAGUCGACGGAUCACUAUAAUGAAUGAGUGUCCAGUUCGCAACAUCUUCUUAGAGGGAUAAGCGGUAGUCCUAGCCGCACGAGAUUGAGCAAUAACAGGUCUGUGAUGCCCUUAGAUGUUCUGGGCCGCACGCGCGCUACACUGAAGGGAUCAGAGUGUUUUCCCCCUCCGAGAGGAGUGGGUAACCCGAUGAAACCCCUUCAUGAUAGGGAUUGGGGCUUGCAAUUGUUUCCCAUGAACGAGGAAUUCCCAGUAAGCGCAAGUCAAGAGCUUGCGUUGAUUACGUCCCUGCCCUUUGUACACACCGCCCGUCGCUACUACCGAUUGAAUGAUUUAGUGAGGCCUUCGGACUGUCGCUCUUGGAUGUCUGACUGCUGUUAUACCACAUGGUUCAGUAAGUUCGUGCCUAGAGCUGACGGAAAGAUGUCCAAACUUGAUCAUUUAGAGGAAGUAAAAGUCGUAACAAGGUUUCC